rnacentral:rRNA from 1 species
AUACGGAGGGUGCAAACGUUGUUCGGAAUCACUGGGCGUAAAGGGCGCGCAGGCGGUUUGAUUAGUCAGAUGUGAAAGCCCACGGCUUAACCGUGGAAGUGCAUUUGAAACUGUCAGACUUGAGUACCAGAGGGGGUAGUGGAAUUCCCGGUGUAGAGGUGAAAUGCGUAGAUAUCGGGAGGAAUACCGGUGGCGAAGGCGACUACCUGGCUGGAUACUGACGCUGAGGCGCGAAAGCGUGGGGAGCAAACAGGAUUAGAAACCCCAGUAGUCC